rnacentral:miRNA from 1 species
GCCGGGCUCGUGGGUAGGAGC